UNCCGGGGCUUAGUGCCGGAGCUAACGCAAUAAGCACUCCGCCUGGGGAGUACGACCGCAUGGUUGAAACUCAAAGGAAUUGACGGGGGCCCGCACAAGCGGUGGAGCAUGUGGUUUAAUUCGAAGCAACGCGAAGAACCUUACCAGGUCUUGACAUCCCGAUGCUGUUCUUAGAGAUAGGAAGUUACUUCGGUACAUCGGAGACAGGUGGUGCAUGGUUGUCGUCAGCUCGUGUCGUGAGAUGUUGGGUUAAGUCCCGCAACGAGCGCAACCCUUAUUGUUAGUUGCCAUCAUUAAGUUGGGCACUCUAGCGAGACUGCCGGUAAUAAACCGGAGGAAGGUGGGGAUGACGUCAAAUCAUCAUGCCCCUUAUGACCUGGGCUACACACGUGCUACAAUGGUCGGUACAACGAGUUGCGAGCCGGUGACGGCAAGCUAAUCUCUGAAAGCCGAUCUCAGUUCGGAUUGGAGGCUGCAACUCGCCUCCAUGAAGUCGGAAUCGCUAGUAAUCGCGGAUCAGCACGCCGCGGUGAAUACGUUCCCGGGCCUUGUACACACCGCCCGUCACACCACGAGAGUUUGUAACACCCGAAGUCGGUGAGGUANCCUUUUAGGG
rnacentral:rRNA from 1 species